rnacentral:rRNA from 1 species
UAGCUACGAUAACCGGUGCGAAUCGCAAGAUACGCCGAGCACUUGAACUUCCAACGCACAUUGCGGCUUUCAGUUUAUUCUGAAGUCACAUCUGUCUGAGAGUUGAGAAGAUUAAAUUACUAACUAUCACAUAGAUAGACAAGGGGCCUCUGUCUAUCAUGUAUAGGGAUGACCGGAUGGUCUAUGCUUAGCAGCAGUAGUUUAACACCUACUCUGCUAUGACUUAGUUCACAUACGGCUUCGUAAUAUUUUAAUCCUUUUCUUGGCUUGGUCCUUAACUGGAUACAAGCCUAGUAAGGAGUUUGUAUAGAUGGUGGUGCAUGGUGAAAACUUGUUGGUUGUGUAUUGUUAAAUACAACAACAGCCACAGAACAACGGGAUGUUGGAAUAUAUUUCACUGGCAGGGGAUACCUGAGAAUGCUGGUCAAUCUGCCGACGCUCAAGUCGAACAGCGGAUUAACAUGACCCGAAGAAAAGGCUUCUCAUUAUAAAGGAUCUCGUUUGUUACAUAAAGGUGAAUUAUAGUCUGUUGGUUCUGUUGUUGUAAUACUUAACAUAUACACAACAUAUAUAACUUGUUAGUAGCGCAUGUAUCCCGUCUCCCAUUAUCAAGCAAUAGUUUGGAUCUUUCCAAACCUCUUUAACUUUGAUCUCAGAUCAGGUGAGGUUA